rnacentral:snRNA from 1 species
GUGUUAGCUUCAGCAGCACAUAUACUAAAAUCAGAAUGGUAUAGGGAAAGUUAGCAUGGCCCCUCAGCAAGCGCUGACAUACAGACAAAGCGAAGCUUGUACAGCCGUG